AGCAGCCGCGGUAAUUCCAGCUCCAAUAGCGUAUAUUAAAGUUGUUGCAGUUAAAAAGCUCGUAGUUGAAUUUCGGGAUCAAGGAAUCGGUCAUGCCUCGGUAUGUACUGGUUUUAUUGGUUCUCACCUUCUAAAGAACCAUGAUGUCAUUCAUUUGAUGUUAUGGGGAAUUAGGACUGUUACCUUGAAAAAAUUUAGAGUGUUUAAAGCAGGCUUACGCUUGAAUACAUUAGCAUGGAAUAAUGAAAUAGGACAUCAGAUUCUAUUUUGUUGGUUUCUAGGAUCGAUGUAAUGAUUAAUAGGGAUAGUUGGGGGCAUUAGUAUUCAACUGUCAGAGGUGAAAUUCUUGGAUUUAUUGAAGACUAACUACUGCGAAAGCAUUUGCCAAGGAUGUUUUCAUUAAUCAAGAACGAAAGUUAGGGGAUCGAAGACGAUCAGAUACCGUCGUAGUCUUAACCAUAAACUAUGCCGACUAGGGAUCGGAUGAUGUUUAUUUUUUAGUGACUCAUUCGGCACCUUA
rnacentral:misc_RNA from 1 species